rnacentral:rRNA from 1 species
UACGGGGGGGGCAAGCGUUGUUCGGAAUUACUGGGCGUAAAGCGCACGUAGGCGGCUUUGCAAGUCAGAGGUGAAAGCCCGGGGCUCAACCCCGGAAUAGCCUUUGAGACUGCAUCGCUUGAACAUCGGAGAGGUAAGUGGAAUUCCGAGUGUAGAGGUGAAAUUCGUAGAUAUUCGGAAGAACACCAGUGGCGAAGGCGACUUACUGGGCGAUUGUUGACGCUGAGGUGCGAAAGCGUGGGGAGCAAACAGG